GCCAGGCAUGGUGGCGCAUGCCUGUAAUCCCAGCUACUCAGGAGGCUGAGACACAAGAAUCACUUGAACCCAGGAGACAGAGGUUGUAGUGAGCGGAGAUCGUACCACUGCACUCCAGCCUGGGUGACAGAGUGAGACUCUGUCUCAA
ensembl:misc_RNA Metazoa_SRP Metazoan signal recognition particle RNA